AACCCCAAAAACCAAAAACCAAAACCAAAACAAAAAACAAACAAACAAAACAGACACUGAGAUUUGUGAUAAGGACAUCUGAGCCAAUGCACAAAAAACAUAGUCAACUGCCAAGAUUGUCCCAAAACCUCUGUGACUGCAGAAAUGGCCAACUCUUCUUUAUUAAAAUCAGAGUUCCUUUUUUGCUUGAAGGUAAUGUUAAGUGCAAAGGAAGUAUAUUCUAAAGGAGCUGCAGGAUUUUCCAACAUGUACCUCGGUGAAUACAAAUGGAACUGGGCAUUAUGGUGCUGGGUCAAGGUGGCUAAUGGGAGAGUUUAUUGAUAAGGGUCACUUUUCUCACAAUAUAGGAUCUAACACCCUGGAAAGACCAUCUUACAAUGUCAAUAUGUUGCCAGGCUGAUUCUUGGAAGCAACAAUGGAUACUAAUGCAUCCCUGUCCACUGGUGUUCUGUCCCAGUUCACCAUUGGUAUACAUCUUAACAGUUGUCCUGUGUAUUUGUUUGCUAGGGCUGCUAUAACAACAAAGUAAAUAGGAAUUCCAGAAUCACUGUGGAAGAUGGCUGAGAUAGAAAUGGUCAUGCUAGAGUAGAUAUCCUACUUAAGGUCAGAAGACCCAAAAUGAUUACAUUUUCCAGGAGAUACUCUGUUUUCACAAAAUGAGAAGGAGAACAUUGGAGACAGAAGCACCAGAUUCACUGAGAAGCACAGUGAGGAUUUUAUAGUUCAAGACUCAGAGUAAAAGGUGAUGUUAUAGAUGUGACUCACUAAUUGCAAUGGGAAUAACCAGAUUCCCCAAAAGAGGCCAGGUUAUGGUACUUAACCAUGAGAAGCUCGGUGAGUGCAAACAUCAGAAUAGGUGGUAAGGUCAGAGUAGCCAUAAAGGGAGCCUAACCUACAGUGAGAUGGCUUGUAUAACACGGUGUUCCUAAGGCCAAUAUAGGUGAUUAAUCUCAGGAAGAUUGCUUAAUGUGUACAAUUAAGAUAAAGCCAAAGAUUCUAACAGCACUCUAGUUUCUGGAUCCUAGACCGUUCUCAUAUCUGGAACUCAUUGAUCUAAGGAGGGCUGCGUUCCCAUGAAUUAAGAUCCUGUAACAUGGAGUGUGUAUCUGGAAAUAAGCCCCCUAGGUCUUCCCCAAAGGGACCUAAGGGCCAUUCACACACCAUGGGAUGGGAAUAUAUAGACAUGUUGAGGACUUCUGAACAAAAGUACUAUGUUGAAGUUGAUUAUCAGGAAUAAGAAACAUCAUCAUGACAUCCUUGUUAGAGUGGAUGGUAUAGAGCCUAGAUCAUUAGCAGAGCCCUGACCCAGGUCCAGGCCACACUUGCUUUGUCCACUGGGCCCAAUGUCUUUCCUUGGUUGGCAGAACGACUAUAGUGGUCAUUAUCCCCUGGUAUAGGAGUUACUGGUGGGAAAGGCCAGGUAAAAGUCUCCAAAACUGGCCCCCACACACAAUGGCUAAGAUACUGAACUUUUAAAGUUGUUCCUUGGGAAGAGUGGCUGAUACUAAUUCUACUUCUAAGGAUACGAAGAAUGCAUGAGUGGUGGUCGCCAUCAUAUAUGUAUUUGAUCUACUUGCCUGGCCCCUUUAGAAACCAGCUGGAUCCUAUAGAUGGUGAUGGACUUCCAAAAUUCCCCUGGUUGGUAUAAGUCUGGAGAAACCAGGCAUAAGCUUCCAGGAGUCUCUUCCCACAGCGUCACUUGGAACAUACUAAAUUCCCCAAGUAAAGAUGUGACAACAUGUGUGGAGUGUUACCGGUCAGGGAAGCCCACCUCAGCCUUGGAGUCCAGGGUUUUUAAUGAGAAUCAGUCGUGUGGGCAUAUGGCCCCUGCAUGAUUUACCUCAGCUACUGGAACCCCAGACCACCAUAAAUCACAUUGUUAGGACUAAGCCUCUAGACAACUGGCACAGCUUGGCUCCAGGCCAAAGAAAUGCAAAACCACUCUUAUGAAAUGGAACAUUUCAUGAGCUCAGGUCCAGGAGCCAGUCGUAAAAAUAGGUCUUUCUGGGGAACGUGCCUUCCCCACACAAGCAUCCUCAGCUUAAGAAGGGCAAAAUGAGCAGUGGCUUUUGAAACUCAGAGAUGAAGAUUUGUGAAGCCUUUCAGGUUAGGUCAUUUGGACUAGCAGAGGUGCUAGCCAAGAGUCAGAGAAAUGCAAGAUGGACAGUAAAGGGUGGGAGCAUAGCGAUCUGAUGUGACUUAAGUCCAGCUGCCUUGGCAGGGAUUACACUGCAUUCCACUCACCUUCCUCUCCCCAAUUUUCCCAGGAAGAGAAACCUGCUGGAGACUCCAAAGAGGUGUCCCCAAACUCUUGAAAGCACUUGACUCAAGCAAUGCAAAGGGUGGCAUCUGGGGACCUGGCCGUGCUGCCCAGAUUCCCUUCAGGACAAAGGUGCUUAUCACCAGCCACCAUGACUUCUCGCUGCUGAUGCUACGGAAGACACAAAAGAGAAAGUGUGUUCAUGUCUCCAAACAGUUUCCUAUGGCUGCAAGUACUCGUUACAUUGGUCAUUACGGACAGAAAGUACCUAACUCAGCAGGCAUAGGAGUCACAAGCCAGAAACACUGACUUAGAUAAUUAUGAAUAUUUGUCUCUGCCUCAAAGCAUAAAACCAAGAGAAAAUGGAAGGCAAGUCCUUUAGGCGCUAGCAUAUUUAUUACUUUCAGUGUAUUUGCUUACCUACAUCUCAACAUUUAGGAAGAAGAAAGCAUUUGAUGAAGCAACUGUUGAGAGUCUCCUCCCAAGCUCCCCAGACUCCAUCCUGCCAGUCCUGGAGAAUGCAGGGUGCUGAGCCUUGGGGAGUUCUGCCAGUUAUUUUGCUUAUUUAGAUGCCUUACUAUCAGAAGACGACACUGACAGCGACUUUUGAAAACUGGCGACUAAGAGAAUCCUAAAGAUAGAGCCUACUGAGAAAUGGUCUUUGCACCAAGAAUGCAAGCCAUCUUCUCCUGUCUGUGAGAUAGUGCUCAGAAAGGAUCUACUUACUGCUCUCACGGAUUUGGCGACCACAGAUAGAGAAUACUCACCUGCCCAGUGGCUUUGCGGACGGUGGGGGGAACCUCAAGAAUCAAGACCAGGGCUUAUUAAGAAGUGAUCAAUCCACGUUUUCACAUUGUGACUAAUGUUUGGAGACUGAUCAGGGAGAAUGUGGACCAAAGCAAAGAAGUAUCAAGACCUGGAUUGAUACACACACACACACACACACACACACACACACACACACACACACAUAUAGAUGUUUGACUAUUUGCGUAACUGGCAAGUGACUCAUUAGCCCACCCAGUAGUAACAAGACACGAGGAAGUCAUUGAAAUUAAUUCUCCUUUGCUUCAAGGGGUCAGGGAAGAGAGCAGAAAAGGAAGACUUGUAAGUCAGGUACACAGUAUAAAUAAGAGCCCGUGGUGGGUGAGAUGAAAACUGCUCCAUAAAGCAAGGUGCAUGUUAGGAAUAGGGACAGUGGAGCGUGCUGGUAAGCUCAGUCUUUGCUCCUGGCAUUGUGGCAUCUGGGGACCCCUCCUGUGUGGGGGAUCCAGCACUCUGUACUACUCACUACAGAAGUCAGAGGGAUUUGAAGGGUCAGUGUGCAGUGUAAAUUGAAUGCCAGUAACAAGAUGCACCGUGUAAGAAUUUCAUUUCAUUCUGAUGUAAGAACAGUUGUGCCACCCCGUGAGUUGUGACCUCUUACCUCUGGGCUAGAAGUCCAGGGCAAGUGGAUUGGUCUUUAAGGAGGUGACCUUGAGGACGGACCACUCCCUUUUCACAUUUCACUGGCCCACACUAAUUCCUAGCUGCAAGGGAGGCUGAGAAAUGUAGUCUUCAGUUAGGUGGACCAUGCCCAAUAAAUACUAAAAAGAAAGGAGAGAAUAGUUCCUAAACUGCAGUUAGCAGUUUUUGCGGCAAGGAUAUGUUGUGUCUCUAUGUAGCUGGAUGUCAGUACAUGACCUAGACUUAGACAAGAUCAGUUCUACUGGGCGCUUUGGGUUGGAGACUUGGUCGUAGCUAAGGGAAGAGUAUUUAGUUCCUGCCACCUUCUAAGCCCGAUUCCUUCUGGGCCGCUUUCUGGUAGUAAAUACUUCUCAGGACAGUGUGUGCAAACGUUUCAUGGUAUGUGUUGAGAAAUAGGAUUUGUUGGGAAAGUUUAUGAGCAAAGGGCCAGUGAGAAAAGGCACCCCUAGCCCCGGACCCUCAUUAUCCCCCUAAGGGGCACAUGGGGGUAGGAUUCUCUGGUGAACCUGCCACAGUACUUUGUUCUUACGGUUCCCCUUCUUAGGCAGUAGUCACCAACACUCUCCGUGCAGAGCUAAACACACCGCUUGUUAGAAGGCACACUGCAUUUGGGGUGCCUGUUGUUUGGAGGGAUUGUCGGGGAAGGCCAGCUGCUGUUGGGAUGUAUGGCUGUGGCAAUUCUCGGUCCUCGCACCAUGGAAACUCAGUUUGAGGACACCUCCUGAUGUAUCCCCACUCAGGUCCUUCACUGCCCAGCUUCCAGGAUUGCACUGGAUGACCUGGCUUUUCCGACCACACCUCUCCACGUCUCCUACUGAUUUUAGGAACUGACGACUCUUCUCCUAAUAACUCAUUUCUCUGCUUGUACGUGGAAUUGGUUUCUAUUUUGUACAACCAUGAUAAUUGCCUCGUAGACUGUAUGUGAUCCAGGCAGACAUGAAAUUUAAGCAAACAAUUGAAUUAUAUAGUUCGGAA